rnacentral:rRNA from 1 species
CUACCCUUGACAUGCCAGGAACUUACCAGAGAUGGUUUGGUGCUCGAAAAGGAACCUGAACACAGGUGCUGCAUGGCUGUCGUCAGCUCGUGUCGUGAGAUGUUGGGUUAAGUCCCGCAACGAGCGCAACCCUUGUCAUUAGUUGCUACAUUUAGUUGAGCACUCUAAUGAGACUGCCGGUGACAAACCGGAGGAAGGUGGGGAUGACGUCAAGUCCUCAUGGCCCUUAUGGGUAGGGCUUCACACGUCAUACAAUGGUACAUACAGAGGGCCGCCAACCCGCGAGGGGGAGCUAAUCCCAGAAAGUGUAUCGUAGUCCGGAUCGCAGUCUGCAACUCGACUGCGUGAAGUUGGAAUCGCUAGUAAUCGCGGAUCAGCAUGUCGCGGUGAAUA